UGGGUUUACACUGCUCUCUUGCCUUUUGAUAUUGAUUUAUAUAUUUUCUAACUGGUAAAAUAACGAGACAUUUAGCAAUUGCAGCUGCUCACAUGCAAAGAACAUCUUUAUCUCUUCCUCGUGCACACACGCAAACCAUAGCCUGCAAUCUUUAUUGAGAUCUAAAGAGACCAACUAAAGAGGAAAGGAACCAAGAACUUGUAGUGAUCGCAGGGGUCAGACGAACAAAAUAAAACAGAGCCGAAAUCACAGAAACCCAGAAAUCACCAUAAAUUUCAACCUCCUUCAAACCCAAAAUCUAUCUAGAACCGCAGCCCUCUUCCUCGCUAAACAGAGCUGAAAUCAACCUUUGCCAUCAGCACAUCCCAAAGCAGACACCUAAUGAAUAUUGCCAACAACCCAUCCUCCC
rnacentral:lncRNA from 1 species